rnacentral:rRNA from 1 species
GGACGAACGCUGGCGGCGUGCCUAAUACAUGCAAGUAGAACGCUGAAGGAGGAGCUUGCUCUUCUGGAUGAGUUGCGAACGGGUGAGUAACGCGUAGGUAACCUGCCUGGUAGCGGGGGAUAACUAUUGGAAACGAUAGCUAAUACCGCAUAACAGUAGAUGUUGCAUGACAUUUGCUUAAAAGGUGCAAUUGCACCACUACCAGAUGGACCUGCGUUGUAUUAGCUAGUUGGUGGGGUAACGGCUCACCAAGGCGACGAUACAUAGCCGACCUGAGAGGGUGAUCGGCCACACUGGGACUGAGACACGGCCCAGACUCCUACGGGAGGCAGCAGUAGGGAAUCUUCGGCAAUGGACGGAAGUCUGACCGAGCAACGCCGCGUGAGUGAAGAAGGUUUUCGGAUCGUAAAGCUCUGUUGUAAGAGAAGAACGAGUGUGAGAGUGGAAAGUUCACACUGUGACGGUAGCUUACCAGAAAGGGACGGCUAACUACGUG